UCUUGGAUAUAUUGAAUCUUUAUCAAAUAUAGAUGAUACAAAGAUUCUUCUCAAUAAAUAUAUACUUAAAUGCUCAAUAUAUGCUAAGCACUGUGGAUACAACUAUAAAAAAAAACAGGACAGCUCCUGCCUUCAAGACUUACAUCAUAAUGGGUGAGACAACACAUAUAGGAGAAUGAUGGCCAGGGAGGGGUGUUUUUGGUUUGGAGAUGCUGAGUAGUUGACUGGCAAGUCCUGUUGAGUUACUUGGUAAUACUGAUUUGAUUCUGAUGGUUUUGAUUCGAAGAUUACAAGGCAGUGGUUGUGGCAGGGAGGAAUGCAAAAAGGUCAGAAUGGACAAAGGCUAGGGACACUCAGCCCUAAUUUCCUCCCAACUACAGAAGUAAAAGACCUAGUUCUCUCAAAAAAUUUUUAAACCAUGUUAACUGUUAAUAUUCAUGCUUUUUAUCCAUCCUGGGCUUAUUAAGAGUGAUACAAGGUUAAUCUAAAUUUAAUGUCUACCAAAUUUCUUUCUAGUGUUCCAUUUGGUAACUACUGUAUGAAUAAUUAGGUGGGAAUUAGUUAAAAUUAAUUAGAAGAGAAGCAAUUAA